UGUUGUGCGCUCCCAUGGUAUAAUAUACUGUGGGCAAAAGCCUCUGGCAAUGAUCAUUCGUUCAUUAACGUUUGACCGGAGCUAGUCGCAAAAUAUUGCGCAGUGUGCAAAAGCAGCGUGACGCAGUUUACAACCGCUUAGCGCUCUUAUGCAUUGUGUGAGAGCACUGCCAUGUAUAUCUGCUCGGUAUCGCCAGAUGCCUGAGCGAAUGACGAAGUUCGUUGUGAAAACGGCGUUCUUUUUGAAUAUUAUACUUUAAACGCAUAGCUCAAUCAAUUCUUUGGGCGCUAGAUGAAAGUCUAGUGUUUUAAAGUCGAUUGUAGUAAACGCUUGCGUUAGUAUUCUAUAUACUCUGCACAUUUUAUUCAAAUUGUUUCAGACGGUAUAAACGAUAUGGUAUAGGGUCGCUUUUAAGCGUUCGGCCGGUUGCAAGCACGGACGGUUAUUGGCCGUCGGACCUGGUCCGGCAUCGAUGCCGCCUCGAGCUGUUAGCUGCCGUGUCCUCGGACGGACUCUAUUACCGGUCAGCGAUGCUAUUGCUUUGGGUACUUUCAGGACCCGUCUUGAAACACGGACCAAGGAGUCUAGCAUGUGCACGAGUCAUUGGGAAAUACAAAACCUAAAGGCGCAAUGAACGUAAAGGUUUGCUUAAGUAAACUGAGGGAUGACAGACCGCAUCCACGGAUGCGUGCUUGCAAUCCCGAGGCGUCUCACUCUCAUUGCGAGAAGAGACGCACUCAGAGCGUACACGCUAGGACCCGCAAGAUGGUGAACUAUGCCCGGUCAGGUCGAAGUCAGGGGAAACCCUGAUGGAGGACCGUAGCGAUUCUGACGUGCAAAUCGAUCGUCGGAACUGGGUAUAGGGGCUAAAGACUAAUCGAACCAUCUAGUAGCUGGUUUCCUCCGAAGUUUCCCUCAGGAUAGCUGGCAUUCGAUGAGCGAGUCUCAUCCGGUAAAGCGAAUGAUUAGAGGCCUUGGGGCCGAAACGACCUCAACCUAUUAUCAAACUUUAAAUGGGUGAGAUCUCUGGCUUGCUUGAAUAGUGAAGCCAGAGAUUUGGAUCAGAGUGCCUAGUGGGCCAUUUUUGGUAAGCAGAACUGGCGCUGUGUGAUGAACCAAACGCCGAGUUAAGGCGCCUAAACGACGCUAAUGGGAUACCACGAAAGGCGUUGGUUGCUUAAGACAGCAGGACGGUGGCCAUGGAAGUUGGAAUCCGCUAAGGAGUGUGUAACAACUCACCUGCCGAAGCAACUAGCCCUGAAAAUGGAUGGCGCUGAAGCGUCGUGCCUAUACUCGGCCGCCAAGGCAUGAGAAACGUUCAUAAUAGUUCGUUUUGACGCCCUGGUGAGUAGGAGGGUCGCGGUGGUGUGCGCAGAAGGGUUUGGGCGUAAGCCUGCCUGGAGCCGCCAUCGGUGCAGAUCUUGGUGGUAGUAGCAAAUACUCCAGCGAGGCCCUGGAGGACUGACGUGGAGAAGGGUUUCGUGUGAACAGCCGUUGCACACGAGUCAGUCGAUCCUAAGCCCCAGGAGAAAUCCUAUGUUGAUGUCGGUGUAUUUUAUUUUAAAUAAAAUUUCACACCCAUCGGGCGAAAGGGAAUACUGUUCCUAUUCCGGAACCCGGCAGCGGAACCGUUUACAAGUCGGGCCCUCGCAAGAGAGUUCGUCGGGGUAACCCAAAAUGACCUGGAGACGCCGUCGGGAGAUACGGGGAGAGUUUUCUUUUCUGUAUGAGCGUUCGAGUUCCCUGGAAUCCUCUAGAAGGGAUAGGGUUUGGAACGCGAAGAGCACCGCUGUUGCGGCGGUGUCCGUAUCUUCCCCUCGGACCUUGAAAAUCCAGGAGAGGGCCACGGUAGGUGUCGCGCCGGUUCGUACCCAUAUCCGCAGCAGGUCUCCAAGGUGAAGAGCCUCUAGUCGAUAGAUAAAUGUAGGUAAGGGAAGUCGGCAAAUUGGAUCCGUAACUUCGGGAUAAGGAUUGGCUCUGAGGAUCGGGGCGUGCCGGGCUUGGUUGGGAAGCGGGCGUAGGCCGAUGUGCCGGGCCUGGGCAAGGUGAAAUUGUCCUUGUGACUUAGAUCCGAGCUCGGUCCCGUGUCUAGGCCCCCCGCGGAUCUUUCUUGCUGCGAGGUUUCUGUGCCGGCUUCGGUCGGUCAGUCGUACUCUUCGGCCGCCAUUCAACGGUCAGCUCAGAACUGGCACGGACUAGGGAAUCCGACUGUCUAAUUAAAACAAAGCAUUGCGAUGGCCCUAGCGGGUGUUGACGCAAUGUGAUUUCUGCCCAGUGCUCUGAAUGUCAACGUGAAGAAAUUCAAGCAAGCGCGGGUAAACGGCGGGAGUAACUAUGACUCUCUUCGCCACCAUCCUCCAGGCACAAAACUAGGAGUUAGGUUUAGUGGGUAUUGCCUUUCGGGUCGAGUCCCACACUGGCCUGGUCAACCUGGCGACCGGCGUGCGUAAAUGCAUUCCUCCUAGCGUUCCGACUGUCACGGUUUUCUAGAGCCAAGCGCAUAAGAGUGGUGUGAGCCAUUGCGACGAUCGCCAACAAUACUCUAGCGUGAUCCGAUUCGAGGAAACUGCUAGGCGGGGAGUUUGACUGGGGCGGUACAUCUGUCAAAUAAUAACGCAGGUGUCCCAAGGCCAGCUCAGCGAGGACAGAAACCUCGCGUAGAGCAAAAGGGCAAAUGCUGGCUUGAUCCCGUUGCUCAGUGUGCACAGGGACUGCGAAAGCAUGGCCUAUCGAUCCUUUUGGCUUGAAGAGUUUUCAGCAAGAGGUGUCAGAAAAGUUACCACAGGGAUAACUGGCUUGUGGCAGCCAAGCGUUCAUAUCGACGUUGCUUUUUGAUCUUUCGAUGUCGGCUCUUCUAUCAUUGCG
rnacentral:rRNA from 1 species